CGCACAAACACAUGCAUGUUUAUAUCAGUACUUAAAGAGGUCAAAUCGUUUUUUGCCUCCCCCUUAGGUAAUCACCAGAGUAACCAACUGAAUCCCAGGUUCCUGGGUGAACCCACCCGAAGUAACACUCACUUGAGGACCUCUGUUUCACGUUGAGAGGCACACAGGAAGCAGCAAAAGACUACUCACAAUGUAGCUGGUUUCUAUAUAAAUAUAUCCCAUAUUUUAACUGAUGCAUUUCCAUUCACAGCGUUAAUUAAAUCUUCAGCAGCUCUCUGGUAUGGUUGCUUAGUAACGACAAAAGCCACAAAAGCACCAGCCCACAGGCAGUUGAUUAAAACCACCACUGGCUUCUUUCAUGAAGGCUGUUCAGGUGCUUCAGCACACUCUCCAUUGGAACCUCCUCUGCGCCUUCAAACUCACCGCCGACACAGUCACCGACCACAGCGGCGACCAGCGCUCCCCUAAACCGGGACAAAGACGCUGGGGAACCCGCAGCCGCCGCCGCUGCUGCUGCUCUCACUGCCGUUAUUGACAUUCUUCCACAAGUGAAGAGACGUCAGGCUACACCGAGAAAA